rnacentral:misc_RNA from 1 species
UUUUUUUUAACUAAAUCAGAAAAUUUUCUAUGAAAUUUCAAAAGCUCUACAAACACUUAAUUGUUUAUGACUACAAUAUCAAGUAAUUCAGUUUAGAAAAGCCAAUUGAUGGUAAUGUUGCCAAGCCAUGUGAACAGUGGAAACUGAGCCAAAGCGAUGAAUAGCAAGAGAUAAUGAUGCCGGCUCGAAUCGUAACUCCUCACCUCUGCAAAAAGGACCCUCUUCAUCGUCUUCACCAAGAAAAUUCCCAUACAUAAGCAGGCCCAUGGCAUCAAAAAGUAGUAAGAGUAUUUGAAUAAAAUCUUUCCAAGGACAGCAAAACACAUCCCUGUGAAAGUAUAUCCACCAUAGGCAACAAUGUCCAACAAGGGUGCCUCUGCGCUACUCAAUGAAAGCAUUGUUACUUUAAGCAAUGAAACUUGCAGAAACCAGCCAAGUAAUCCCUUCACAAACAACCAAUUGAGUGCUUCAGCGCUAAACUUUCCAUUAAGUCCUAAUGACAAGCCAGCAAGUACGACGUAUGUACCAAAUGCCAUGAAUGGAAUGUACAAGUCUGGUGCAUUUAUAUCAUAAAUUGGGGGUUUGUAGGAAAGCCUGCCCCCUACUGGCUCAGUUAUCCGAGUCCAGUGUCCCCUGUGCAGGAAUGGAAA